rnacentral:rRNA from 1 species
GAUGAACGCUGGCGGCGUGCCUAAUACAUGCAAGUCGAGCGAACAGAUGAGGAGCUUGCUCCUCUGACGUUAGCGGCGGACGGGUGAGUAACACGUGGAUAACCUACCUAUAAGACUGGGAUAACUUCGGGAAACCGGAGCUAAUACCGGAUAAUAUAUUGAACCGCAUGGUUCAAUAGUGAAAGACGGUUUUGCUGUCACUUAUAGAUGGAUCCGCGCCGCAUUAGCUAGUUGGUAAGGUAACGGCUUACCAAGGCAACGAUGCGUAGCCGACCUGAGAGGGUGAUCGGCCACACUGAAACUGAGACACGGUCCAGACUCCUACGGGAGGCAGCAGUAGGGAAUCUUCCGCAAUGGGCGAAAGCUUGACGGAGCAACGCCGCGUGAGUGAUGAAGGUCUUCGGAUCGUAAAACUCUGUUAUUAGGGAAGAACAAAUGUGUAAGUAACUAUGCACGUCUUGACGGUACCUAAUCAGAAAGCCACGGCUAACUACGUG